CAGUCGACGGAAGGCCCUUCGGGGUACUCGAGUGGCGAACGGGUGAGUAACACGUGGGUGAUCUGCCCUGCACUUUGGGAUAAGCCUGGGAAACUGGGUCUAAUACCGAAUAGGACCACGCGCUUCAUGGUGUGUGGUGGAAAGCUUUUGCGGUGUGGGAUGGGCCCGCGGCCUAUCAGCUUGUUGGUGGGGUAAUGGCCUACCAAGGCGACGACGGGUAGCCGGCCUGAGAGGGUGACCGGCCACACUGGGACUGAGAUACGGCCCAGACUCCUACGGGAGGCAGCAGUGGGGAAUAUUGCACAAUGGGCGCAAGCCUGAUGCAGCGACGCCGCGUGAGGGAUGACGGCCUUCGGGUUGUAAACCUCUUUCAAUAGGGACGAAGCGCAAGUGACGGUACCUAUAGAAGAAGCACCGGCCAACUACGUGCCAGCAGCCGCGGUAAUACGUAGGGUGCGAGCGUUGUCCGGAAUUACUGGGCGUAAAGAGCUCGUAGGUGGUUUGUCGCGUUGUUCGUGAAAACUCACAGCUUAACUGUGGGCGUGCGGGCGAUACGGGCAGACUAGAGUACUGCAGGGGAGACUGGAAUUCCUGGUGUAGCGGUGGAAUGCGCAGAUAUCAGGAGGAACACCGGUGGCGAAGGCGGGUCUCUGGGCAGUAACUGACGCUGAGGAGCGAAAGCGUGGGGAGCGAACAGGAUUAGAUACCCUGGUAGUCCACGCCGUANACGGUGGGUACUNNNUNUGGGUUCCUUCCUUGGGAUCCGUGCCGUAGCUAACGCAUUAAGCACCCCGCCUGGGGAGUACGGCCGNCAGGCUAAAANNNNNNNGAAUUGACGGGGGCCCGCA
rnacentral:rRNA from 1 species